rnacentral:SRP_RNA from 1 species
CCUUGAUAUUUAAUAUACUUUAUAAGGCGCCCUUAAGUGGCUCCGCCGGACGGUUAGGGUCCUGCGCAAUGAGAUGCCGUGAACCUUGUCAGAUCCGAGAGGAAGCAGCAAUAAGCGGAUUUUCUUAUGUGCCGCAGAAAAGCCUUUUCCUAACCCAGCGGAGUCACUUAAGGGCGUAUUCUAUAAAUGAAAGG